rnacentral:lncRNA from 1 species
CCUAGGGUUGGCCGAGAAAGGAGAAGAAAUACGGUGUCUGCGCUAGCGCGUGCGCCCCGGGGUUAGACUUGGGUGCGCCCAGCGGACGUGGGUAGCGUGAGCUUCAUGCCUUCGGCCGGCCGUGUUAUACUCGUUAGACCCAAUUCACCAUGAAUCCUUUGAAAGACUAGUGGAGAGUGAGAAGGGGGUUUCAAAGUCACUGGAGUAAAGGAAUUCUCCAAGCACCACCUCAUGAUUAAUUCUUGGAAAAGCCUGUUUGCGCGGCCCUUAGAAUCAUUUUGACUUCUUGUCUAAUGGUGAAGUUUUUCUCUGUAAUCCUUCUACUCUGUUUUCUAAAACCAGAACUAAAAACCUAAAAAAUUGUAAAACUUCAUGGUGUAAUUAAAACCCCUUCACCAUU